GAAGGAAUUGGGACACUGAGAGAGAAAGCUUCACUGGAAAGGCUGAACUGAGACAGGAAGACCAAAGGUAGGGAGACAACAAGAGAGAAAUACUGGGAGUCUGAACUAGUGCAAAGGUCCCAGGGAUGCAGAGGUCUCAGUGAAGUCUCUGAAGAAAACUUAACACAAGGUGUCUUUUUAAGAAGAGGAGACAACACAGAGGCACACAGGGAGAAGGCAG